ACGUAGGUGGCAAGCGUUGUCCGGAUUUACUGGGCGUAAAGCGCACGCAGGUGGCCUAUCAAGUCUGGGGUGAAAUCUCCUGGCUCAACCAGGAGAGGUCUCUGGAUACUGGUAGGCUUGAGGGCAGCAGAGGAGAGCAGAAUUCCCGGUGUAGCGGUGAUAUGCGUAGAUAUCGGGAGGAAUACCAGUGGCGAAGGCGGCUCUCUGGGCUGUCCCUGACGCUGAGGUGCGAAAGCGUGGGGAGCAAACCGGA
rnacentral:rRNA from 1 species